rnacentral:rRNA from 1 species
AUUGAACGCUGGCGGCAGGCCUAACACAUGCAAGUCGAACGGUAACAGGAAGAAGCUUGCUUCUUUGCUGACGAGUGGCGGACGGGUGAGUAAUGUCUGGGAAACUGCCUGAUGGAGGGGGAUAACUACUGGAAACGGUAGCUAAUACCGCAUAACGUCGCAAGACCAAAGAGGGGGACCUUCGGGCCUCUUGCCAUCGGAUGUGCCCAGAUGGGAUUAGCUAGUAGGUGGGGUAACGGCUCACCUAGGCGACGAUCCCUAGCUGGUCUGAAAGGAUGACCAGCCACACUGGAACUGAGACACGGUCCAGACUCCUACGGGAGGCAGCAGUGGGGAAUAUUGCACAAUGGGCGCAAGCCUGAUGCAGCCAUGCCGCGUGUAUGAAGAAGGCCUUCGGGUUGUAAAGUACUUUCAGCGGGGAGGAAGGGAGUAAAGUUAAUACCUUUGCUCAUUGACGUUACCCGCAGAAGAAGCACCGGCUAACUCCGUG